GGAAUAUUGGUCAAUGGGCGAAAGCCUGAACCAGCAACGCCGCGUGCGCGAUGAAGGCCUUCGGGUCGUAAAGCGCUUUUGGGAGGGAUGAAAAUGACAGUAUCUCCCGAAUAAGGAUCGGCUAACUACGUGCCAGCAGCCGCGGUAAGACGUAGGAUCCAAGCGUUAUCCGGAAUUACUGGGCGUAAAGGGCGUGUAGGAGGUUGGGCAAGUCGGCCAUGAAAGCUCCCGGCUCAACUGGGGGAGGCUGGUCGAUACUGCCUGGCUAGAGGGCAAGAGAGGGAGGUGGAAUUCCCGGUGUAGUGGUGAAAUGCGUAGAUAUCGGGAGGAACACCAGUGGCGAGGGCGGCCUCCUGGCUUGUACCUGACUCUGAAACGCGAAAGCAUGGGUAGCAAACAGGAUUAGAAACCCUGGUAGUCCAUGCCAUAAACGAUGUCAACUGGGUGUCGGCGAAGUAAAAUUUGUCGGUGCCGAAGCUAACGCGUUAAGUUGACCGCCUGAGGACUACGAUCGCAAGAUUAAAACUCAAAUGAAUUGACGG
rnacentral:rRNA from 1 species